rnacentral:rRNA from 1 species
AACGAACGCUGGCGGCAGGCUUAACACAUGCAAGUCGAACGGGAUCUUCGGAUCUAGUGGCAGACGGGUGAGGAACACGUGGGAACAUCCCUUUCAGUUCGGAAUAACGUUGGGAAACUAACGCUAAUACCGGAUACGUCCUUCGGGAGAAAGAUUUAUCGCUGAAGGAUUGGCCCGCGUCUGAUUAGCUAGUUGGUGAGGUAAUGGCUCACCAAGGCUACGAUCAGUAGCUGAUCUGAGAGGAUGAUCAGCCACAUUGGGACUGAGCACACGGCCCAAACUCCUACGGGAGGCAGCAGUGGGGAAUAUUGGACAAUGGGCGCAAGCCUGAUCCAGCCAUGCCGCGUGAGUGAUGACGGCCUUCGGGUUGUAAAGCUCUUUUGUCCGGGAAGAUAAUGACUGUACCGGAAGAAUAAGCCCCGGCAAACUUCGUGCCAGCCGCCGCGGUAA